rnacentral:rRNA from 1 species
UACGUAGGGACCAAGCGUUGUUCGGAUUUACUGGGCGUAAAGGGCGCGUAGGCGGCAAAUUAAGUCAUCUGUGAAAUCUCCGAGCUUAACUCGGAACGGUCAGGUGAUACUGAUCUGCUAGAGUGCGGAAGGGGCAAUCGGAAUUCUUGGUGUAGCGGUGAAAUGCGUAGAUAUCGGAAGGAACACCAGUGGCGAAAGCGGCUUCCUGGUCCAGCACCGACGUUCAGGCACGAAAGCGUGGGGAGCAAACAGG